GGUGCUCCACAGUCAGCAGGGUUAGUGAGGUGCUCCACAGUCAGCAGGGUUAGUGAGGUGCUCCACGGUCAGCAGGGUUAGUGAGGUGCUCCACAGUCAGCAGGGUUAGUGAGGUG